CAGGGUUCUAAGUAUAGCAUCUAUACUGUGAAACUGCGAAUGGCUCAUUAAAUCAGUUAUCGUUUAUUUGAUAGUACCUUACUACUUGGAUAACCGUGGUAAUUCUAGAGCUAAUACAUGCUAAAAACCCCGACUUCGGAAGGGGUGUAUUUAUUAGAUAAAAAACCAAUGCCCUUCGGGGCUCCUUGGUGAAUCAUGAUAACUUAACGAAUCGCAUGGCCUUGCGCCGGCGAUGGUUCAUUCAAAUUUCUGCCCUAUCAACUUUCGAUUGUAGGAUAGUGGCCUACAAUGGUUUCAACGGGUAACGGGGAAUUAGGGUUCUAUUCCGGAGAGGGAGCCUGAGAAACGGCUACCACAUCCAAGGAAGGCAGCAGGCGCGCAAAUUACCCAAUCCCGAUACGGGGAGGUAGUGACAAUAAAUACUGAUACAGGGCUCUUUUGGGUCUUGUAAUUGGAAUGAGUACAAUUUAAAUACCUUAACGAGGAACAAUUGGAGGGCAAGUCUGGUGCCAGCAGCCGCGGUAAUUCCAGCUCCAAUAGCGUAUAUUAAAGUUGUUGCAGUUAAAAAGCUCGUAGUUGAACCUUGGGCCUGGCUGGCCGGUCUGCCUCACCGCAUGUACUGGUUCGGCCGGGUCUUUCCUCCUGGGGAUCCGCAUGCCCUUCACUGGGUGUGUUGGGGAACCAGGACUUUUACUUUGAAAAAAUUAGAGUGUUCAAAGCAGGCCUUUGCUCGAAUACAUUAGCAUGGAAUAAUAGAAUAGGACGUGCGGUCCUAUUUUGUUGGUUUCUAGGACCGCCGUAAUGAUUAAUAGGGAUAGUCGGGGGCAUCAGUAUUCAGUUGUCAGAGGUGAAAUUCUUGGAUUUACUGAAGACUAACUACUGCGAAAGCAUUUGCCAAGGAUGUUUUCAUUAAUCAGUGAACGAAAGUUAGGGGAUCGAAGACGAUCAGAUACCGUCGUAGUCUUAACCGUAAACUAUGCCGACUAGGGAUCGGGCGAUGUUAUUCUUUUGACUCGCUCGGCACCUUACGAGAAAUCAAAGUCUUUGGGUUCUGGGGGGG
rnacentral:rRNA from 1 species